AAGUUAAAUAGUCGCGUAUAGCAAAUACCGAAAGGUUGCGUACGAGGAAAGUCCGGGCUCCACAGAGCAAGGAUGCUGGAUAACGUCCAGUGAGGGAAACCUUAAGGAAAGUGCAACAGAAAAGAACCGCCUGUAAAGGUAAGGGUGAAAAGGUGAGGUAAGAGCUUACCGCUGGCAUGGUGACAUGCUGGGUCCGUGUAAACCCCAUCUGGAGCAACACCGAGACUAGAAGGCUAAGCCUGCUCGGCAUCUUCUUAAUUUGGUGGCUUGAGACAUAUAGUAAUAUAUGUACUAGAUAAAUGACUAUUCUAGACAGAACCCGGCUUAUCGAUUUACUUA
rnacentral:RNase_P_RNA from 1 species